rnacentral:lncRNA from 1 species
CACCUGGGGGUUUGGCACCUGCUCUCCUUCUGCCCACAGGCCCCUCCCCAGGUCUCUGGUUCUUUUAUGCCUUUCAGCUUCAGUGUCAAUGUUGGGGUCUGUCAGAGAUCCUUCUCUGUGUACCAUAUCUAAAGGAUUGGUACUUCAUUUCACUUAUAACAAUCUAGAGUAAUUUAUUUGCAUUUGUUCACUUGCUUAUUGGUCCAACCCCCUCCCAACAUAAUGAGGAUGAGCUCAUAUCCCAUGACACAUGGAGAAGCUUUGGCCCCAACUCUGCCCCAGCCCAAGGAUGCACUGGCUAUUUCAAAUUUGGAGGCAGAAGCUGGCUAGUUUGUCUCUCUCCUGAGUGAGGCAACCUAUUUGAACUGUUGCUUAGUGGUAGGGGGCAGAAGAAAUUGGUUAUGGUGAUUCAAUGCCCUGUUGGGAGGGAUGCUGAGGACAGCUCUUAACAGAUUGCCAUAGGGGUCAUGGCAGAUGGUCCUGGAAGGUGACUUGGGCCAGAAAAUCAUGCAUUCUCAUCUUGGAUAGCCAUGCCUCGUCUGCUUCCUGGUAUGGCACUGCCCCAUGCUCUGAGGCUGCUAGCCUCCU